AUUGAACGCUGGCGGCAGGCUUAACACAUGCAAGUCGAGCGGGGGAAGGUAGCUUGCUACCGGACCUAGCGGCGGACGGGUGAGUAAUGCUUAGGAAUCUGUCUAUUAGUGGGGGACAACAUCUCGAAAGGGAUGCUAAUACCGCAUACGUCCUACGGGAGAAAGCAGGGGAUCUUCGGACCUUGCGCUAAUAGAUGAGCCUAAGUGGGAUUAGCUAGUUGGUGGGGUAAAGGCCUACCAAGGCGACGAUCUGUAGCGGGUCUGAGAGGAUGAGCAGCCACACUGGGACGGAGCCACGGCCCAGACUCCUACGGGAGGGAGCAGUGGGGAAUAUUGGAAAAUGGGGGGAACCCUGAUCCAGCCAUGCCGCGUGUGUGAAGAAGGCCUUAUGGUUGGAAAGCAUUUUAAGCGGGGAGGAGUCUACUCUAGUUAAUACCUAGGGAUAGUGGACGUUACUCGCAGAAUAAGCACCGGCUAACUCUGUGCCACCCGCCGCGGUAA
rnacentral:rRNA from 1 species